ACUACCUAAUACUAUUAAUAUCAUUCCUGGACAGCUGAGUAAGCAAAUCGAGCACACCUCAACUGGGUAAGCAAAUCGAGCACACCUCAACUGGGUAAGCAAAUCGAGCGCACCUUCUCUAGGGUCUAAGGUGGAGGCAUUAGAGGAGCAAAAGCGACAGGAUGGACAGGGACAGUGUGAUAGAAUUUUAUUUUAGGCUGGGAAUGAGCUACAAAGACAUUCUGAAAAGCCUGGCAUUGCAAGGGACCAUCAUUACUGAGAGACAUUUAAACAGGAUAUUGAGAGUAGGGUUGCCUCCCGUCCCUUAAAAUACAGAAACGUCCUUUAUUUGACAAUUAAUCGUUGCGUCCCGUAUUGAAUCAAUACGGGACGCAAGUUGUUCCGUAUUUUCAUAAAUGUCCCAUACACGUCUGUCACACACUCAUCAAAACUGCAUAAUUAAUAAAAUAAAACACAGGCAAUAUUAAGGGCAGCCAAUUUCAUCUUCGUAGGACCCAUGUAGCGAGGACCCGAUGCCAGGUCCAGUGGACAGACUUCAGACGUCUCUGUGUGUCCGGUCCUGUCCUGUCCUGUCUCUGGUUGCCAGGUUACAGACGCUGCUGCACCCGCACGUUUAAAAAUGUCUACACCUGAAACUCCACCACGUCUAAAGAAGCAAAAACGUUUGCAAAUGUACAGACGUGAGUGGGAAGAGUGGAACCCCUGGCAAUGGAUACAAGGCAAACUGUGUUCUGUGUUGCUCAUGGACUGGCUGAAGUAAAGCAGCAUCAGGAGACAAACAUGGAGGAAAUAUGGGAACAGAGAGAACCCAACCAGCAGGUCACAGUUUAUCAUCAUCUAAUCAUCUCCUGAAGUCGAUAUGGUCCCUCUCUAUCUCCCCACACAUCCACCAACCACUGGAACACAUCUCCAAAGUUCUGCCGGGCCAGCUCAGCUUCCCCUCAGAAGAAGUGCCGCCACCUGCCAGAUGAAGGAGCCUUUUGAGAGGCAGCUGGCAUCAUGAUUGGACUGUACUUUGGUCUGUUCCAGUCCAGCUUCAGCUCCAGAGACGGCAGGCGGGACGAGUCAACGGAGGCCGGGUGGACGAAGGCAUGCAGCUGAGUACAAUCCAGAAAACAACAGAGGAGGAGUGCAGUGGCCCAGAGCCAGAACAAACAGAGUAGCAUCGUAUGUCUCUUAGAAAACAUCAUAGUAUAG